UACGGAGGUUGCAAGCGUUGUUCGGAAUUAUUGGGCGUAAAGAGCUCGUAGGCGGUUUGUCGCGUCUGCCGUGAAAGUCCGGGGCUCAACUCCGGAUCUGCGGUGGGUACGGGCAGACUAGAGUGAUGUAGGGGAGACUGGAAUUCCUGGUGUAGCGGUGAAAUGCGCAGAUAUCAGGAGGAACACCGAUGGCGAAGGCAGGUCUCUGGGCAUUAACUGACGCUGAGGAGCGAAAGCAUGGGGAGCGAACAGG
rnacentral:rRNA from 1 species